rnacentral:rRNA from 1 species
GAUGAACGCUAGCUACAGGCUUAACACAUGCAAGUCGAGGGGAAACGAUAGAGAAAGCUUGCUUUUUCUAGGCGUCGACCGGCGCACGGGUGAGUAACGCGUAUCCAACCUGCCCAUCACUUGGGGAUAACCUUGCGAAAGUAAGACUAAUACCCAAUGAUAUCUCUAGAAGACAUCUGAAAGAGAUUAAAGAUUUAUCGGUGAUGGAUGGGGAUGCGUCUGAUUAGCUUGUUGGCGGGGUAACGGCCCACCAAGGCGACGAUCAGUAGGGGUUCUGAGAGGAAGGCCCCCCACAUUGGAACUGAGACACGGUCCAAAACUCCUACGGGAGCAGCAGUGAGGAAUAUUGGUCAAUGGACGAGAGUCUGAACCAGCCAAGUAGCGUGCAGGAUGACGGCCCUAUGGGUUGUAAAACUGGCUUUUUAUAAGGGAUAAAGUGAGUCUCGUGAGGCUUUUUGCAUGUACCUUAUGAAUAAGGACCGGCUAAAUUCCGUGCCAGCAGCCG